CGAUGAACCGCUUCGGUGGUGGAUUAGUGGCGAACGGGUGAGUAACACGUGGGCAAUCUGCCCUUCACUCUGGGACAAGCCCUGGAAACGGGGUCUAAUACCGGAUAAUACUCUGUUCUGCAUGGGAGGGGGUUGAAAGCUCCGGCGGUGAAGGAUGAGCCCGCGGCCUAUCAGCUUGUUGGUGGGGUAAUGGCCUACCAAGGCGACGACGGGUAGCCGGCCUGAGAGGGCGACCGGCCACACUGGGACUGAGACACGGCCCAGACUCCUACGGGAGGCAGCAGUGGGGAAUAUUGCACAAUGGGCGAAAGCCUGAUGCAGCGACGCCGCGUGAGGGAUGACGGCCUUCGGGUUGUAAACCUCUUUCAGCAGGGAAGAAGCGCAAGUGACGGUACCUGCAGAAGAAGCGCCGGCUAACUACGUGCCAGCAGCCGCGGUAAUACGUAGGGCGCAAGCGUUGUCCGGAAUUAUUGGGCGUAAAGAGCUCGUAGGCGGCUUGUCACGUCGGAUGUGAAAGCCCGGGGCUUAACCCCGGGUCUGCAUUCGAUACGGGCUAGCUAGAGUGUGGUAGGGGAGAUCGGAAUUCCUGGUGUAGCGGUGAAAUGCGCAGA
rnacentral:rRNA from 2 species